UACGUAGGGGGCGAGCGUUGUCCGGAAUCACUGGGCGUAAAGGGCGCGUAGGCGGUAAUAUAAGUCAGAUGUGAAAGGUGGGGGCUCAACCCCUAGAGUGCAACUGAUACUGUAUAACUUGAGUGUAAGAGGGGUAAGCGGAAUUCCUAGUGUAGCGGUGGAAUGCGUAGAUAUUAGGAGGAACACCAGUGGCGAAGGCGGCUUACUGGAUUAUAACUGACGCUGAGGCGCGAAAGCGUGGGUAGCAAACAGG
rnacentral:rRNA from 1 species